UACGUAGGGUGCGAGCGUUGUCCGGAAUUAUUGGGCGUAAAGAGCGUGUAGGCGGCCAGGUAGGUCGGUUGUGAAAACUGGAGGCUCAACCUUCAGACGUCGACCGAAACCAUCUGGCUAGAGUCCGGGAGAGGAGAGUGGAAUUCCUGGUGUAGCGGUGAAAUGCGCAGAUAUCAGGAAGAACACCCGUGGCGAAAGCGGCUCUCUGGAACGGUACUGACGCUGAGACGCGAAAGCGUGGGGAGCGAACAGG
rnacentral:rRNA from 1 species